AAAUCAAAUCAACCGCCACCAACGUGGUUGGUCGUGGAGGAAGAGUCCGUCUUGUUGCGGUCUCCCCUCCCAAAAUCAACGGCGGAAAGUUGCUGGCACUCGGCGUAGGAGUAUUAUUCGCCGAUUACCCAGUGUCGUUCCUGCCACAAAAUGCCCACGAUUCUCUU
rnacentral:misc_RNA from 1 species